rnacentral:rRNA from 1 species
GAUCAUGGCUCAGAUUGAACGCUGGCGGCAUGCCUUACACAUGCAAGUCGAACGGCAGCACGGACUUCGGUCUGGUGGCGAGUGGCGAACGGGUGAGUAAAGUAUCGGAACGUACCUUAUCGUGGGGGAUAACGCAGCGAAAGCUGUGCUAAUACCGCAUACGCCCUGAGGGGGAAAGCGGGGGAUCGAAAGACCUCGCGCGAUUAGAGCGGCCGAUGCCUGAUUAGCUUGUUGGUGGGGUAAAAGCCCACCAAGGCGACGAUCAGUAGCUGGUCUGAGAGGACGAUCAGCCACACUGGGACUGAGACACGGCCCAGACUCCUACGGGAGGCAGCAGUGGGGAAUUUUGGACAAUGGGGGAAACCCUGAUCCAGCAAUGCCGCGUGAGUGAAGAAGGCCUUCGGGUUGUAAAGCUCUUUUGUCAGGGAAGAAACACCGGCUCUAACACAGUCCGGGAAUGACGGUACCUGAAGAAUAAGCACCGGCUAACUACGUG